CGCCCGGCGCCGUCCCCAUCGAGUCCGCCCGGAAACCUCUGGAGUGCUCUUCCAUUUGUAAAGCUGAGCACCACACCGAGGAAGAAGAUGGAUGCUGUAAUCGCAAGAAUCCAGAAACAUUUUCACUGAAAUACUCUCCUGUCAUCUUUAAAUCAUUUGAGGAAAAAAAGUGGGUAGGAAAUGGAUCGUUUCCUGUACAUGGACCAAAAAAAUAACCAGGAUACACCUACAGCAAACACAAACUGCUUGCAGGUAUUUCCAUAGGACUAAAGGCUACGUGGAAGAGAACAAGUACAAGACUAGAAACUAUGAUAAAAGCCAGCAAACCAGCCAUGAAGCUAUCAAGCAGUUUUGGACAUGACUCCUCUUACCUAAGCAGCCUGAAAUACUUCGGAAUCAAGGUGGUGCUUCUCUGGAGUUCAAAGGAGAAAUUGCGGCUUCAGGAGAACACCU